GACGAACGCUGGCGGCGUGCUUAACACAUGCAAGUCGAACGGAAAGGCCCUGCUUUUGUGGGGUGCUCGAGUGGCGAACGGGUGAGUAACACGUGAGUAACCUGCCCUGGACUUUGGGAUAACUUCAGGAAACUGGGGCUAAUACCGGAUAGGAGCUCCUGCUGCAUGGUGGGGGUUGGAAAGUUUCGGCGGUUGGGGAUGGACUCGCGGCUUAUCAGCUUGUUGGUGGGGUAGUGGCUUACCAAGGCUCUGACGGGUAGCCGGCCUGAGAGGGUGACAGGCCACAUUGGGAUGGAGCAACGGCCCAGACUCCUACGGGAGGCAGGGGUGGGGAAUAUUGCACAAUGGGCGGAAGCCUGAUGCAGCAACGCCGCGUGCGGGAUGACGGCCUUCGGGUUGUAAACCGCUUUCGCCUGUGACGAAGCGUGAGUGACGGUAAUGGGUAAAGAAGCACCGGCUAACUACGUG
rnacentral:rRNA from 1 species